rnacentral:lncRNA from 1 species
GGACACAGUGAGAAGGCACCAUCUGUGAACCAGAAAGCCAGCCCUCACAAGACACUGAAUCUGCUGGCACCUUGAUCUUAGACUUCCCAGUCUCUGGAACUACUAAAUGGUUUCUAUUGCUUGUCUUCAAGUUUGCUGAGUCCUUCUUCCUCUAGCUCAAACCUGCUGUCGAGCACCUCUAGUAAAUUUUCAUUUCAGGGUUUUGCUGUGUUCUCCAGCCUUGUCUCAAACUCCUGGCCUCAGGUGAUCCUCCCACCUCAGCCUCCUGAGGAGCUAGGAUUACAGGCAUGUACCACCACACCCAGCUGCUUUAAUUAUUUAAACAUAGAUUCCUUUAGACCUUUGAACAUGUUUAUAGUAAAUUAUUUUAAGUCAUUGUCUACCAAGUCCAAUAUCUGAGCUUGCUCAGAGAUAGCUUGUAUGCACUGCUUCUUUUCUGUGUAUGACCACAUUUUUCUAUUUAUUUGUAUGUUUCACCAUGUUUUUGGAAACUAGAAGCUUUGGAUAAAUAUUAUAACAAAUCUGAGUUCUGAUUUGUCUCCCCUAGAGGCUAUUGCUGCAUUUAUUUGUGUGUUUAGUGACUUGCCUGGAUAAAUUAUUUAGAGCCGGUCUCCCCUCCAGUGUGCAAACAUGGAAAUCUUAUUUGUUUGUUUGCUUAAUUCCUGCCUUCAUUUUAAACCUUUUCUAUAGAUUAAGCAUAAUCUGGGUAAGCAUCCUUAAUAGGCAGCCAAUGAUUGGUCAGAGGUUUUGCUUAAACACCUUCAGCCAGUAAGAUUUCUGCCCUUUGGUGUGGUGAGGCACACACUCAGAGGGCAGGCAGUUUACAAGUGUGCCCACCUUCACUUGCUGUUUGUGCAGGGCCUCGUGGUCAGCCAGGAACAAACAGAUAACUGGGCCCUCUCCACUCUCUCCUGCACAUUCCUACACCUUGGGCAAGUGCACAGCAUUCCAGAUUCUUAGAAAUGUGUCAGGUUUAUCAAAGCCCCUAUGGUUGUCUUAUUUCCCAGCUCUUUCUUGUAAAUUUUUGGCUGGUUGCUGCUUUCCCAAGUCAGUGUCACAGACUUAGGUAGCUGUGACAUUGGCCUUCUUUGAUUGUCUGCUAUAGAGAUGGCCUCUGUUUUGACAGUGUUUCUGGACAUUGUGCUUUUCUAUGGAGCUCCAAAUUAGAUCAGCCCCCUCUAGCAGCAGCAAGACUUCUGGGUUUAUGGUUGCCACACCACAGAGUUCAGAGAGAGGUGGGUGGGAGCAGCCCUGUGUUGAAAUGGCACAGACCCCG